UUUCUGAUCCUACUGUAUCCUUAGAUCCUCCCAAUGACCUAAGCAUUGUCCUCCACAUCUCUCCUUGCACAGAAGCAAAUGUCUGGGACAGCCCUACUGAACAGUGCCCUCUAGUGAGCCUUUGGGUCCCCACCUGGCAUCUGUGGAGGGAAUGACUGGAUGACCACAGAGAGAAGAUAGAGCCCAUGCUCCUCCUCAGAGGACUGCCAAGCUCCUACUGUGUGCAGGUGCUCAAGAAUACUAGGAUGAGAAGAGGAAUAAUUCCAGGUCCCUGGAUAUCAAAUUUUCUAGAUUCAGUAACUUGCAUUGGUGGAGUCACUGGAGUAUUAGAAACAUGGACUAGAAUGAUGAAGCAGCUUAAGUCACAGUAAGC
rnacentral:lncRNA from 1 species